CUUGUUGGUCUAAUCUCGAUGUGAGGUGAGUUUCCAUGGUUACGCAUCAUGCAUUUCAUCAUGUCAAUAAUAAGGAUGAAGGGAGAGAGAUAAACGCUUAAAGUGAUUACUGUUGAUCAUCUUUAUCUCUUAUCCUUGUUAUUUCAUCAGUAACUUACUCAGGCUCUUCUUCUCAUCUUUAAAACUCAUCAUCAUCAUCAUCAUUUUCUUCUUCUUCUUCUUCUUCUUCACCGUCCAGACUAUAAUGUUGAUGUUCAAUUGACUCGACAAACAGCAUUCCAAAGGUUUAACUGGUAUUAGAAAAGAAAACGGGAUUGUAUUUAUUGCCCAUGAAGGAAAAAGCAAAAUCCACCGAUCGAUGACCAAUGGUGAGUAAAGUAAAUAAGUUCUAGGAGAAAGAAAUAGAAAAAGUCAAAAUAUUUGGUCACCUUAAAUUUCACCUUUUGGUACCAACAGCCUUUGAUCGAAUCUUCCUUUUACCUUGGCAUUUACUAGCAUGUUAAUCCUCAUUCGAUAAGCGGAUUAGUUAAUCUUCACAUCAUUUAUUACAAGUUAAUGAAAAAGUGAUAAAUCUUCAUUCGUAAAUCCUAAAAAUAAAACGUUUAAAACUUUC